rfam:Alligator mississippiensis ScZkoYb_72, whole genome shotgun sequence.
GCUCCAGUGGUGCAAUGGGUCAGCAUGUGUUAUUUAUAAUGCAGUACUAGUGAAGGAGAGCCAAGGUUGUGAGUUCAAGCCUCACCUGGAACA